CAAGUGCCAUGAGAAUAAAGCAGGAAAAUGUGGAAGCUGCUGUUACAGAGGAAGAAAACUUUUGAGGGCAGACUUUGUUUGACACAGCACUAGUUAGAAGGGCUGUGUGUGGAAUUCCUGAUAUAAUAAUAAUAAUUUAAUAAUAAUUUAUUAUUUAUACCCUGCCCAUCUGGCUGAGUUUCUCCAGCCACUCUGGUUUGUGGCCCUGAUUUGUAAAUCUAGAUUGGACCUGAUUUGGGCCAGACUCAAUCUGGACCUAAUCCAAGCAAACCCAUGUCUGAAUCCAAACUGUGAUCCAUACAAUAGAAACCUCUGGAAGUCUCAUUGCCUUGUAGUGCUAAACCAAAAACAGCUGUAAAUUUAUUGCUUUCCCCCCACAUGGGGCAAUAAACUUUGGAGACAUGGGAGCCCCUCUCCCCCCUGCCAAAGUUUAGAUAGUACUUCUAGGGGUUUUCAUGAUAGAUACCUUUAAAAUUUGCUUUUUCAAAACAAAACAAAACAAAACCACCUUGAGACUGUGAGUUGUCAGUUGUGCCAAUUGCCUUUAUCCUGUAUUUGCCCUUUUAUCAAGUUUUUGAAAACAUUUGAGGUUGUAUUUUUUAAAUUAGGCAGAAUCCGGCAGGCAGCAAUAUGAAGAUAAGCGCAGGGGAAUAAUGCAGGUAAGGAGUCUUUUGAGGGGCAGAUUGUCAGCAAUGAGAGAAAAUUAAAUAUUCAUUGGAGUCACAGAUGAGACCCUGUCAUAUAGAGGGUAGGUUGCUAAUAAUUAUAUUCACUAUGGUUAGUAAUUGAUGAUGAUGAUAGUAAUAAAAUGAAAAAAGCUAGGUAAUAUGCCCACAAUGUUUUUGUCUGGCUAGCUUAUUAUUAUUAUUAUUAUACCCCACACAUAAUAAUAAAAUAAAAUUGUGUAAAGUAUGCGAUGCAAAAACUGGCUGCUUCGGAUUGUCUGUGGUUACCUGUUGGAAAUAGUAAUGUUAAUAAUAAUAGUAGAAUUAAUAAUUAUUACCAAUGAGAAGUGAAUAAGAUUGUGUACCACACAAUGAGCUAUUGUAUUGCUGGCUGGCUGGCGGCUGCUUAGAAAUUGGAGAGCAUCAUCUGAAGAAGAACACCACUAUAAUAGUAUAGUACUGUACUUGUCUGUGUAAAUGUACUCACAAGAGAAACUCACAACACAAAGCACUAAUAAAAACAGAAACAAAAAACUGAACACAGUGGCAAAUCAACCUUACAUUAAUACUAGAGCUAAAAUGGAGGGGGGGUAUUAAGACACAGACAAGAAAUAAAGUUGAGACUCUAUUGGGAAAGAAUAGAAAACAAAUGCAAGCUGAAUAUAUGUCACCUACACCAACAAACACUUUCUGAGAGACAGAACUUGCAAAAGAGUACUGCAAAUUACACACACACACACACACACACACACACACACCACUGCCUCCCCACCCCACCAUGUAACAGGAUUGGAGAGUGUUGCGUAGUGUGAGAGCAUUUUAGGCUAGCUUCCUUAAACAAAGGAUGGAUAUACACUAAUGUUUUUUUAACUUUAAGGGUUAAGGAAUGGUUUUAAUAACCAUAUGGACACAUGACGUCCUACUUGUAACGUUCAUUAUGCAUGAUUAAAAUGUGACAACAGAGGGCACUGCAAAGCAACCAGGAGACCUUGUUUUGGUGAAGGUAAGUAACACUUUAUUUUACAAGUAUGGCCUGUGACGUUUCGGAACAAUCUAUCUAAUAUCAUUCUAAUAACAUUAAACAGGUCAGUGUGGAUCCAGCUAAAGUCCAGCUGCUCCACCCCAAAUUAUUGUGAGAUCAUUCUAGCCCUUCUCCAGCUCCCUUCCUCCCGCUUGCCUUGCCAUGGAAUUCUCCUUUAUGGUGUUGGAAUUAGCAAUGGCAACAAUUUGGAGAAUGCCUGUCUGGCUUUCUGUAAGACUGUUGUGAACUACAAAUUGAUAUGAAUUGGGAAAACUCAACCUGUUCUGUGGUGAUUCAUAGCUGCUUUAGUCCAAUCCAGACAGGGCAUAGAUCAGCCCAUUUUGGUUUAGAGAUUUUGACAAAUCUGGAACACGACCUUAUUAAUUGGGGGUAUAUUUAAAUUAAGAAUGCAUGUCUUAAAUCACUGCUUUUUCACAGAAGUACCGUACUCUGGAAAAUAGAAAAGAAAAAAGAAGAUGGGAUUGAUGCUUCUUGCUGUAAAAACAUUAAAGUGAAGUAUUACUGUGUUUUUACAUCAUUGAUGUAAAAACAUAUAUUCAUGUAUCCAUGCUUCAUAUAAUAGCACCAGCACUGAGUCUAGGAAGCAUAAUAGGAAGUAUACUUUAGGACAUUUUCCUUACAAAUAUUGCACAAGCAGAUUUUGGAUAUCCAAUACUUUUUUUUGCAUUAGGUCAAACCCAAUAAGAUUUCUGUCAAUCUAGCCUCAAAGUUUCUCCGCAGAGAGACUUUGAAUUGGCUCUUACUGAGAACCUUUUUGAAACACAAAACUGAAAAUUACUAUAAAGGUAUGAAUUCAAUUUAAUUGGGGGGAAAAUAAUUAGGUUUGAUGCUGGAAAAAAGGGAAAUGACAAAAGUGCACCUAAUGUCAGACUGCAACUUGCCACUCAGAAUUCACCAUAAAGGAUUCUAAAUUACAGCACUUAACGAGCCUCCAGAUGGAAGAAGCUUGCUUUUAAAAAAUCUCUUGCAAUGAUCAGAAGAGAGACUUCCCUCCUGUCAGACACCUAUGCCUGUGUUCUCACCAUAUUUUGCAAAGGGCACCAUGUCUAUGUUCUCAGUGUUUUUUAGAUUAUGAAUGUGGAAUUACACAAAUUAAUUCCAGUGAAGUUAUAAUGCUGGGAGUGACUCAUUUUAUAUUUGGAGCUAGGCUUACUUUCAGUAAAGUAAUGGAUGUGGUAUGUGAACAUCUUUGAUCACACAUCUGCAAUAACAACUGAUGCAUUAAUGUAUUCCUUACACUUACUCUUCAGGUAUUAACAACAUUCAUCUUUCACUAUGAGAGUUAUAAAUCCUGACAAUCAGGGUAAAAUUAGUCAUAAAUGCAAUUUUUUUCUCUUAAGAAUUGUGCAAAAUUAACUCUUGAUUGUGCAUUGUUAACCGUUAUCAAAAGAGCUGUUCAUAAAAAGUUUUCCUUUUAUUUUUCAGUGAUUAUCGAUGCAACUUGUGUUGCAGCUGCAGGAGUUGAAACAUUUUAAAUCUAAUUUACUGCAAAGACAGCAUUGAUGCAUUGAGAUAAAUAAGAAGAUUUAUUUUCAACAUUUAUUAGCUUCUACCAUUGAGGGAGCCAUUGCCCAAAUCAGAAUUUUAGCUGCAGACUAAUAAGCAGAGCAUUUAAGAACGACAGUUUUUUGUUUGCAGAUCAAGACCGGAGGACAAUACAGGAAGAGGUACAUUUCACACUGUUGACAAAUCCCACUAGUCAAGAUCUGGAAAGGGCAGGUGUCAGUCAAACAGGAGACUACUUGUCAGCCAUCACUCAAGAGAUAGCUGCUGUCUAACCUUUUGAAAUAUGUUUAUAUUGUGAUGCUUAUUUUAAAGAAUAAACAGGC